UCUUUACCAGAAUGGAAUUUCUCCAUGAAGAUUUUUUCGAUGGAAGUUUUUUUAAAAAGCCUCACAGAAACUGCAGGGAUCAACAGGAUUAUGAACACUUUAAAACAAAUAUUUUUUUUUUUUUAUAUUUUUUAAAUUUGCCUAACUUCUACCUUAUUUCAGUGAUUGAAAAUGAAGUGAGCAGCAGCUGAGAGUUCUUGCAGUUUUUUUCUUGUGAUUACAUUCCAGCAGGUGUAACUGAGAAGCUGCUUGUGUUUCCAGACUUGUUCAAGCUUCACACCUGAAGUGAACCCAGAAAAAGAUGGAGUUUCAUACAGCUUCAGAUUUUCUGGAUCAGGUUUGUUCCAGUGUUCUCUGACUGGCCUGAAGUUCAACAUCACCCACGACGGAGAGGUGAAAUACAGGACUUUGGUUUGGGACCAAACCCUCCUGGAGUCAAUGAACCUGCAGGCUGGAGGACCGCUGUUCAUCAUUGAGAGUCCUCAGGGCUCUGUCAACCAGCUGCAGCUCCCACACUGUCAACCUGAACCCCCCUCUGACAGUCUGUCUGUCCUCCACAUCUCUGAUGAUGGAACAAGCCUCCUUCAGCCUGUGACAAUCACAGAAACCCAUGUGGUCGUGAACGUCCCCCACCUCUCUGUAUUUGGUAUUGUUAGUAACUUAAUCCAAAAUUUCAAAACAAGGAUCAGAGGGCAAGCUCUGUUGUUUCGGGAUUCCAUCAACAAGUUUCUCUCCAUCUACCUGAUUCUGCUGCCAUGCAACGUGCCUCUAUAUGAAGUAAAUGUUUCUCUUUUUUCAUCCAACUCUGUUCAACAGUUUUAUUUAAUACCUCAUAUAAGCAACCAAAAUA